rnacentral:rRNA from 1 species
AGGUGUGCCGCGAGGCAUGCUGGAGGUAUCGGAAGUGCGAAUGCUGACAUGAGUAACGAUAAUGCGGGUGAAAAACCCGCACGCCGAAAACCCAAGGGUUCCUGCGCUACGUUAAUCGGCGCAGGGUUAGUCGGCCCCUAAGGCGAGACCGAGAGGUGUAGUCGAUGGGAAGCAGGUCAAUAUUCCUGCACCGCUUGCUACUGCGAUGAGGGGACGGAGGAGGCUAGGUUAGCCGGGCGUUGGUUGUCCCGGUUUAAGCGUGUAGGGAGUGCUCUUAGGCAAAUCCGGGAGUGCAAUCUCGAGACGCGAUGACGAGCCCCUUUUUAGGGGCGAAGUGACCGAUGCCAUGCUCCCAGGAAAAGCCUCUAAGCUUCAGGUAGCGAGUGACCGUACCGUAAACCGACACAGGUGGGUAAGGAGAGAAUCCUAAGGCGCUUGAGAGAACUCGGGUGAAGGAACUCUGCAAAAUAGUACCGUAACUUCGGGAGAAGGUACGCCUUCUUCGGUGAAGAGCUUCGCGCUCGGAGCCUUUGAAGGCCUCAGAAAAUAGGUGGCUGCGACUGUUUACUAAAAACACAGCACUCUGCAAACACGUAAGUGGAAGUAUAGGGUGUGACGCCUGCCCGGUGCCGGAAGGUUAAUUGAUGGGGUUAGCUCUUCGGAGCGAAGCUCUUGAUCGAAGCCCCGGUAAACGGCGGCCGUAACUAUAACGGUCCUAAGGUAGCGAAAUUCCUUGUCGGGUAAGUUCCGACCUGCACGAAUGGCGUAACGAUGGCCACACUGUCUCCAUCCGAGACUCAGUGAAGUUGAAAUCGCUGUGAAGAUGCAGUGUACCCGCGGCUAGACGGAAAGACCCCGUGAACCUUUACUAUAGCUUUGCACUGAAUUCUGAACCUGUCUGUGUAGGAUAGGUGGGAGGCUGUGAAGCGGAGACGCUAGUCUUCGUGGAGCCACCGUUGAAAUACCACCCUGAUAUGUUUGGAGUUCUAACCUAGGCCCGUUAUCCGGGUUGGGGACAGUGCAUGGUGGGUAGUUUGACUGGGGCGGUCUCCUCCCAAAGAGUAACGGAGGAGCACAAAGGUACCCUCAGCGCGGUCGGACAUCGCGCAGUGAGUGCAAAGGCACAAGGGUGCUUGACUGCGAGACAGACAAGUCGAGCAGGGACGAAAGUCGGUCUUAGUGAUCCGGUGGUUCUGUAUGGAAGGGCCAUCGCUCAACGGAUAAAAGGUACUCCGGGGAUAACAGGCU